AUAAUAUUUGGAAGGGGCUGGGAUGCAAUGAUAUGGUUUAGCUGUUUCCCCACCCAAAUCUCACCUUGAAUUGUAGCUAAACAGUUCCCACUUGGGAGGGACCCAGUGAGAGGUAAUUGAAUCAGGGGAACAGGUCUUUCUCAUGCUGUUCUCAUGAUAGUAAGUCUCAUGAGGUUUUAUGAAGAGGAGUUCCUCUGCACAAGCUCUCUCUGUUUGCCUGCUGCCAUCCUUGUGACUUGCUCCUCCUUGCCUUCUGCCAUGAUCGUGAGGUCUCCCCAGCCCUGUGGAACUCUUUGGGAAGCCAACUGCAUUCCUUGGCUUGUGCCUCCUUCCUCACAUCCAUGUCACCUUCUUCCUGUGCUGUAAUUGUACCUCCUUCUGCCUCCCUCGUAUGAGGAAACGUGAUUCUACCAUUGGGCCCUCCUGGAUCAUCUGGGUUACUCUCCCACUUCAAGGCCCCUAAUUUAAUCACAUCUGCAGUCUCUUCUGCUAUGUAAGGGGAUGUCAAGCAGAAACUUCAAAAUGCACAAAGGGCUAGAAGACUCUGGUAUUUUCUAAACACAGAUGAAUCCAUGAAGACCACCUAAGGAGGAGGAUGAGGUAGGGAGGAGGUGCAGAUAAAUUGCAUGGCCCCAACACAGCCAGGCUGAAAGUGGGCCUUUUUCUCUUCACCCACUUCCAAAAGCACACAGCUCUGAGGGUCACACUAAUGUCUAUUAACACCGAAUAAGCCUUGGAGAGGGAAUGGGCAGACAGCAUUGGCCCUAUUGUACGGAAGGGGAAACAGAGGCCAAAGGGAUCCAAAGAAUCCACUCAGUGAGCUGGAAGUGGCAGAGGCAGGAAUCGAACUCGGGACCCGGGGUAAGAAAGAAACAUCAUAGAAGCUGCAGCUGAGAAUUCAGCAGGGCUCACAAUCAAUCUGUGGGUAUGUAUAGCUGGUUCCUUUCUGAUCGGGCAGUGCCCACACCUUACUGAUUAUUAAAAACCUCCACGUACUGAAUCUCACUGUGGCCCCAGGCUGGACACAAUUGAAAGCUGGCAGAGAUUGGACAUGGAGAAGCUGGAAGUCUCUGGGCAUGCUACAGAGCCCAUCUCUGAGAAUGUGACUGUACCUUGGCUUAGCUGAUGAGGUUGCAGGGACCCAGCCCAACUUCCAAACGGGUGUGUUCACCAGUGGUUCCCACCUUGCAUUUUUAGUCCCUGAAACAGGAAUACAUUGCUCCAUUCCUCCGGCCCCUUUCCAGUCCAACUAUCCAUCUGAUCUAUACCUCUCCCUCUGAUGGAUUUACAAGCCCAGACUUGGCCCCAGUUUUUCUGGGCCUUCCCGUGUGCUGCUCAGCACGGAUGCCUUAAUACGCCAGCUGAGACUUCUUAAAUCCACAUUGAAACAACUGUUGGGUUUUUAUACUGUUGUAAAACUCUUUGUAGGGUAUUCAUAGAAAAUGUUUUAUUAAUUGCCAUAUGUUUAUUGAUUUCUCUUUCAUGUCGGUUCUUUUGUUCUUUCUUUGUAGUGGCAAAAGAUCUCUCUGCAUCAUCAUUUGCAAGUUAUCUAAAAUGUCAAAGGUGUUCUUUUGAAGUUUAUUACAGAUCACAUGCCAUAAGGCCCGGACGCUGGGUAUUUACAGCGAGGGGGGAAUUCCCGCACGGACUUUCAAAGCCCACAAAAGAAUUGAGAUCAUAUUGGUUUAAAACAAGACACACACACAAAACCCCAAUUUAUCAUUUUUUACAAUUUUUCCCAUUUUGAGGGGUGGGGGCGGAUAUUGCAAAGGAAAUUUCAAGAAGGAGAAAUGAACAAAUGUGUUGGCCUAUUUAUGCUGUGGGACUCCCUCUGUAUCUUGCAGUCUCAUUAUGGUCCCUGUUAGGGAACUGUUUCCCAAUCUUCAUCCAGCCCUUGCAAACCUACAGCAGGAGGUUCCAUCAGCUACCCUGUGGGACCAUCAUGCUCCCUUUUCUGAGCAGACACUAGCUUUGGCUUCCCCAGAACAACAGGCCCCAUGCCACAGCCCCGGUGAAGAUCCCAGGGGAACCCCCUGGGAAGAGCGUCUUCCCCCAUAGAGCAUUGCACUAUUCCUCCGGCCCCUUUCCAACAUGGAGAGCAGAGGGCCUGGAGGUACCUGGGCUCUGCCCCCUGGGAUCCAGAGUAGUAAGAAUUGGAGGAGGACCAGUAAAAAGGAGGGAAAAAAAUGUUAAUAGUGCAAUUCCCUAAGAUUUAAGUGAGCUAUUGAUGUAUAAGUCAGCAGAGCAUUUUCUUUUGAAAACCCAAAAGUCAUUUUUUAAAGCUUAACCAGGGAAAACUCGCACUUUGAUCUAGAAGGGGUUCAAAUGAGAUCCACACACACUUAUCACGGAGGCAUGAGGAAGUAUUUUCCACUCUCCCUCGUUUCCCAAGAAAAAGGAUGGAUCAGGCGGGCUGGAUCCCAGCUCAUGCUGAAACACCAUCAUGCUGGUGUCCCUGGGUGGUGCACUGUCUCUGUGGAAGCCUCGAUGACCUUAUCUGUUAAAUGGGCAUACUGAUCCCUAGAUGACGUUGGUCUUCAAGAAUCUGAGAGGGUCCACUGAGCUCUGAG
rnacentral:lncRNA from 10 species